rnacentral:rRNA from 1 species
GACGAACGCUGGCGGCGUGCUUAACACAUGCCAGUCGAACGGAAAGGCCCUGCUUUUGUGGGGUGCUCGAGUGGCGAACGGGUGAGUAACACGUGAGUAACCUGCCCUUGACUUUGGGAUAACUUCAGGAAACUGGGGCUAAUACCGGAUAGGAGCUCCUGCUGCAUGGUGGGGGUUGGAAAGUUUCGGCGGUGGUGGCUGGACUCGCGGCUUAUCAGCUUGUUGGUGGGGUAGUGGCUUACCAAGGCUUUGACGGGUAGCCGGCCUGGGAGGGUGACCGGCCACAUUGGGACUGAGGUACGGCCCAGACUCCUACGGGCGGCAGCAGUGGGGAAUAUUGCACAAUGGGCGGAAGCCUGAUGCAGCAACGCCGCGUGCGGGAUGACGGCCUUCGGGUUGUAAACCGCUUUCGCCUGUGACGAAGCGGGAGUGACGGUAAUGGGUAAAGAAGCACCGGCUAACUACGUG